AAACAAUGUAAUUAUAUAACUCAAGAGUUAGAGAACUACCUUUUUUUUUUCUCUCUCUUAUUUUUCUCCCUUCUCUCUUCAACUCGCCGCUGCUUGUGUUCUUCGUCUCCGACCGGCGCGUGUGGGCCACCAUGGUCACGGCGUCGGUUGGUUCUUUCAGUUUUUGUUUAGUUAUCUAGUUUCAUGUCUUUGUGUGGAGAGAUCUGUGGAUUGGUUUCAUUUUGAUUCCUUCUCUGCUUUUUUCUCUUUUUAGAUCUAGAUUUUUGUUACUUAAAUUUUGUUGCAGGUUCUUGUUUCUUCUUUGCCUGAGUCCUCCUUGGCCCUAACCGCGUUGGCUCUAAGCCACUCAUUGUCGAUGUGUGGUGAUUCGGUUUGGGCGACCUAAUUUUUAGGUUUUCUCACACAGCUUCAACAAAUGGAUCUAGGGCAAGAUCCGCCUAAGUUUGGGUCCUUUACCGGUUCACGUCCAUUGGUUGACACAUCCGGUCCGGCGAUUCCGACGGUCUCUGCAUGUUUUUGCCGAGAUUCUACCGUCCCGCCAUCCAAGGUAUCCCAAGGUUUUUUCUUCUGAAGACUCUUAAUUAUCAAGUGAGGCUAGUAGAUCGGAAUUUUUUGGGUUGGUUGUCAGCUCCUUCGGCGACCUCCUGCUUGUUUUGCGUUCUCGGUUGGCUCGGGUAGUAAGAAAUUUGGUUCUCUGCGUCAUAUCCUUUCAAUAAAGUUUAGAUCUUUUUAGUUUUAUGUCUUUUCUUGUCUCCCUAUGUUGGGAUUUAGUUUCUGGGGGUUAGAGUCCCGCCGGCUUAGUUUUUGGGGGUUAAAGUCUCGCCGGCAUCUGUAUUCCACCUUGUUUGAAGAUCGUUGUGCAAUCCAAGGAGUUUUCCUCUUAGCUAAAGGUGUCACAAUGGCGGACCGAUCGCAGUCUUUUGUAGCAGUACGCUACUCCUUUUGGCUACAGAAGGUGCUUGAAAUUGAUAAAUCCAUUACAUUGUUGUAAUGAUUUUCUGUAGUUUGAUUGCUUUCGUUUCCUCUUUGUAAUUGUGAACAAGUUGUUGUUAAUAUCAUGAAUCAUUCAGACG